UACGUAGGGUGCAAGCGUUAAUCGGAAUUACUGGGCGUAAAGCGUGCGCAGGCGGUGAUGUAAGACAGAUGUGAAAUCCCCGGGCUCAACCUGGGAACUGCAUUUGUGACUGCAUCGCUGGAGUGCGGCAGAGGGGGAUGGAAUUCCGCGUGUAGCAGUGAAAUGCGUAGAUAUGCGGAGGAACACCGAUGGCGAAGGCAAUCCCCUGGGCCUGCACUGACGCUCAUGCACGAAAGCGUGGGGAGCGAAACAGGAUU
rnacentral:rRNA from 1 species